rnacentral:lncRNA from 1 species
CAGGGCUAUGAAGGUCAGACUGUCUCGACCAAUGAUGGGCGAGGGGCAUUGACAUGAGCUGUUCUUGCAAUGAACGGACGGGCACUUGGAUUGGCAAUGACAGGGCCUGACUGACUAAUCCAUCCCUCUUCUGACGGCAAUCAUUGGGAGGAGGCAUAUGAGCUAGAGAAGGCAAAGGAUGAAUCGGAGAGACAUGCAUGGGCACAAGAAAAGACAGCCUAGCUGGGAUCCAGAAGGAUUUGUGUUAGUUGUUGCAAGGAUCAAGACGGUGAAAGUAAUGCACCUUUGGUAUAUGCAUAAACAAUGACCUCUGAAGCUGACAGGCUCAUUAGUCAUAGCACAAACCCCACAAUGAUGAGAGGAGCUUGGAUGGAUGCAAUCACAGUGCUGCUUUCACCCACCGUCAGAUCAAUUGAGUUGGCAGAAUGGCUUGUUAGAGCUCCUAAUCAGGCCGUUCCAUGUAGCUUCAUAUAGUAAACAUCAUAAACCAUUCUUUUUCUGAUCCUCUUAGCGG